UAGAGUUUGAUCCUGGCUCAGAACGAACGCUGGCGGCAGGCCUAACACAUGCAAGUCGAACGCCGUAGCAAUACGGAGUGGCAGACGGGUGAGUAACGCGUGGGAACCUACCUUACGGUCGGGAAUAGCUCAGGGAAACUUGGGGUAAUACCGGAUACGCCCUUACGGGGAAAGAUUUAUCGCCGUUAGAUGGGCCCGCGUAGGAUUAGCUAGUUGGUGAGGUAAUGGCUCACCAAGGCGACGAUCCUUAGCUGGUCUGAGAGGAUGAUCAGCCACACUGGGACUGAGACACGGCCCAGACUCCUACGGGAGGCAGCAGUGGGGAAUAUUGGACRAUGGGCGCAAGCCUGAUCCAGCCAUGCCGCGUGAGUGACGAAGGCCUUAGGGUUGUAAAGCUCUUUUGGCGGGGGAGAUAAUGACGGUACCCGCAGAAURAGCUCCGGCUAACUUCGUGCCAGCCGCCGCGGWAAUUC
rnacentral:rRNA from 1 species